AUACGUAGGGUGCGAGCGUUGUCCGGAAUGACUGGGCGUAAAGGGCGUGUAGGCGGUUGUCUAAGUCUGGAGUGAAAGUCCUGCUUUCAAGGUGGGAAUAGCUUUGGAUACUGGAUGACUUGAGUGCGGAAGAGGGAAGUGGAAUUCCCAGUGUAGCGGUGAAAUGCGUAGAGAUUGGGAGGAACACCAGUGGCGAAGGCGACUUACUGGGCCGUAACUGACGCUGAGGCGCGAAAGCGUGGGGAGCGAACAGGAUUAGAUACCCUGGUAGUCCACGCGGUAAACGAUGAAUGCUAGGUGUUGCGGGUAUCGACCCCUGCAGUGCCGGAGUAAACACAAUAAGCAUUCCGCCUGGGGAGUACGGCCGCAAGGUUGAAACUCAAAUGAAUUGACGGGG
rnacentral:rRNA from 1 species